AGCGAACGCUGGCGGCAGGCCUAACACAUGCAAGUCGAACGGACCCUUCGGGGUUAGUGGCGGACGGGUGAGUAACACGUGGGAACGUGCCUUUAGGUUCGGAAUAGCUCCUGGAAACGGGUGGUAAUGCCGAAUGUGCCCUUCGGGGGAAAGAUUUAUCGCCUUUAGAGCGGCCCGCGUCUGAUUAGCUAGUUGGUGAGGUAAUGGCUCACCAAGGCGACGAUCAGUAGCUGGUCUGAGAGGAUGACCAGCCACAUUGGGACUGAGACACGGCCCAAACUCCUACGGGAGGCAGCAGUGGGGAAUCUUGCGCAAUGGGCGAAAGCUUGACGCAGCCAUGCCGCGUGGAUGAUGAAGGUCUUAGGAUUGUAAAAUCCUUUCACCGGUGAAGAUAAUGACUGUAGCCGGAGAAGAAGCCCCGGCUAACUUCGUGCCAGCAGCCGCAGUAAGAC
rnacentral:rRNA from 1 species